GACUGGUCCAAAGGUAGUAAGCUAUCUCAUUUGCUCAGUUACAGAUCAAACUCCUGUUCUAUUCUUUCCCCUCUGACUACUACACUUGACUAGUCUUAA
ensembl:misc_RNA Y_RNA Y RNA